rnacentral:rRNA from 1 species
AGCGAACGCUGGCGGCAGGCCUAACACAUGCAAGUCGAACGGAUCCUUCGGGAUUAGUGGCGGACGGGUGAGUAACACGUGGGAACGUGCCCUUUGGUUCGGAACAACUCAGGGAAACUUGAGCUAAUACCGGAUGUGCCCUUCGGGGGAAAGAUUUAUCGCCAUUGGAGCGGCCCGCGUCUGAUUAGCUAGUUGGCGAGGUAAAGGCUCACCAAGGCGACGAUCAGUAGCUGGUCUGAGAGGAUGAUCAGCCACAUUGGGACUGAGACACGGCCCAAACUCCUACGGGAGGCAGCAGUGGGGAAUCUUGCGCAAUGGGCGAAAGCCUGACGCAGCCAUGCCGCGUGAAUGAUGAAGGUCUUAGGAUUGUAAAAUUCUUUCACCGGGGACGAUAAUGACGGUACCCGGAGAAGAAGCCCCGGCUAACUUCGUGCCAGCCGCCGCAGUAAAAC